AGAGGGGGAUAACCACUGGAAACGGUGGCUAAUACCCCACGUGAUCCUGCAUUCGGUUGCGGGAUUAAAGGUUCCGGCGCUUCGGGAGGGGCCUGCGGCCUAUCAGCUAGUUGGUAGGGUAAUGGCCUACCAAGGCUAUGACGGGUAGCUGGUCUGAGAGGACGGUCAGCCACACUGGCACUGAGACACGGGCCAGACUCCUACGGGAGGCAGCAGUGAGGAAUAUUGCGCAAUGGGGGCAACCCUGACGCAGCAACGCCGCGUGGGCGAAGAAGGUCCUCGGAUCGUAAAGCCCUUUUCUCCCGGACGAGGAAGGACGGUACGGGAGGAAUAAGUGUCGGCUAACUACGUGCCAGCAGCCGCGGUAAAACGUAGGACGCGAGCGUUAUCCGGAAUUAUUGGGCGUAAAGGGCGUUUAGGCGGCGUCUUAAGUUGGGCGUGAAAUCUUCUGGCUUAACUGGAAGGCUGCGUCCAAUACUGGGACGCUUGAGGGCAGCAGGGGGAGGUGGAAUUCCCGGUGUAGCGGUGGAAUGCGUAGAUAUCGGGAGGAACACCAGUGGCGAAGGCGGCCUCCUGGGCUGUACCUGACGCUGAAGCGCGAAAGCGUGGGGAGCGAACGGGAUUAGAUACCCCGGUAGUCCACGCCGUAAACGAUGGAUACUAGGUGUUGGUGGUAUUGACCCCAUCAGUGCCGCAGCUAACGCGUUAAGUAUCCCGCCUGGGGACUACGGCCGCAAGGCUAAAACUCAAAGGAAUUGACGGGGGCCCGCACAAGCAGCGGAGCGUGU
rnacentral:rRNA from 1 species